AUGUGUUUGUGUGGUGUAUUGUUCUAGAUUCAUAUUAUCUGUAUUGAUAAUGCCACUGUUUUUCCUGCCAUUGUAGCUGAAGAGUUAGCGGAUUGUUUGGACUGAAUUCUGAAUAUGCUGCGUUUGUGCCAUGUGAGAGAAAUAGCAUAUUAUUAUCAUCUUCAUAUAGUAGUAGAGUGUUCUCAGUGUUGCCCCUGGACAAAAAUGUACAUUGAGGAGCCGAUCAUUUCAGUACAGACUACAGAGGGACGACGGCUUGAGAUAUAGUCUCAGCACCAUCAUUGGCUGCAAGAAUUUGCUCCCUGGAAGCGAAAAUGUCAACACGGUAGCCUGUAACCACCUCUGCAUUAUUAUGAAUACUGUUCUUUAUAUUUAGACAUAUCUCAUACAUUCGCGAUUAAUUGAACUAUGUACCUAGCUUAAUUAAUCUACGCAUACAUCAGAUGUAUUCUCCCAUGGUACAUGUAAAUUUGAUUUUCCUCUCUAUGAUGGACAUUGGGGCUGAAUUACUGAGUGACGACUGAUGGUAUUGUGUACUUGCUGCAAAAAGAAGAAAAGUAAAAUUGCUUGAAUUAUGCCUUUUUAGUACAGAUUUAGUUCGACAAUGCUAAUUGGUUGUGUUAAACUGCAGCAUAUUUUCCCCUCACGCGACGAAUUGAUAAAAGGACAAUAUUUUGGUUGUCCAUGCAAUCCUACAAUUGAAUGCAGUAUUUUGCUCAUCCAUGAGAAGCAACCAAAGAUCAUACAUUAUUUUGCUCAUCCAUGAGAAGCAACCAAAGAUCAUACAUCAGCUGCAGAGCUCCGAUGUCUCCAUCCCCGCCUGCACGGUGCCGCCUCUAUCCUCUGCCCCUCUUCUUGGUGCAUAGUGGCCAGCUGGUCGGACGCUUUUGAUU